UGGACAUAUUAUUGUAUUCACAGUGUGAAACAGGGGAUUACACUGUUUUUAAACGGAAAGUGUAUCAAUUAACAUAAUAGACUCCU
rnacentral:pre_miRNA from 1 species